rnacentral:rRNA from 1 species
AUGCUCUCUCAAGCUGGCUACAUGGUCCUGGAUCAAACUAAUAUGGAAUCAUGGGAUGAGGAUCAGCUGAUCAGGACACUUCGAAGAUUUCUUGCAGACAAGAGGUACUUUAUUGUAAUUGACGACAUAUGGGAUGCAACAACGUGGAGUAUUAUUAGGUGCGCUCUGCCAGAAAACAUGAACGGCAGCAGAGUAAUAACAACUACACGAAUUGUGACUGUGGCUACAGCGUGCUGCUCCAAUAGCUAUGAUUAUCUUUAUAAGAUGAAAUUACUUAGUGAUGAAGAGUCAAGAAAGUUAUUUUUCAGAAGGGUUUUUGGUUCAGAGGAUGGUUGUCCUACGUAUUUGGAAGACGUUUCGGCUGAAAUUCUAACAAGAUGUGGUGGCUUGCCACUCGCAAUUAUCAGUAUAUCCAGCCUUUUAGCCAGUCAACCAAAGAUGCUGAAGGGGCAAUGGGAGGACAUAUUGAAUUCUUUGGGCUCCAACUUUGAAGUGCAUCCCACAUUGGACGGAAUGAGAAAAAUACUAAACCUUAGCUACACAAAUCUUCCUCAUUAUUUGAAGACAUGUAUGCUGUAUUUGGGUAUAUAUCCAGAGGAUUAUACAAUCAACAAGAAUGAUUUGGUCAGGCAAUGGUUAGCCCAAGGUUUUACAAGUAUAUCACACGUGCGGGAUCCAGAGGCUGUUGCAGAGGGCUAUUUCAAUGAACUUGUCAACAGGAGCAUUGUUCAACCGGUAGAUACAGAUCAUAAUGAUGAGGUGUUGUCUUGCAAAGUGCAUGAUAUGAUGCUUGAUCUUAUUAUGCACAAGUGUAGAGAAGAGAAUUUUAUCACUGCAGUAGACGACUUACAAGCCGUGAUUGGACUGCAAGGCAAUGUCCGUCGACUCUCCCUCUGCUUGGAUGGUGUGAUAGAUGGCACUACAUUGGGAGCAACCCAGCUCUCACAAGUAAGAGCGCUAGCAAGAUUUGGUAUCUCCACAUAUACGCCGCCUCUAUCAGAGUUUAAGCAUCUCCGAAUCUUAACUCUUGAAUUUCCAACUAGGCUUGUGACACUUGACCUCACAGGAAUGUGUCAUUUGUUCCUGUUGAGGUACCUAAAAGUUGUAGCAGCUUACGGUGAAAUAGUGCUACCAAGGAAAAUUCAGAGACUGGAGCAAUUAGAGACGCUUGAAUUAAGAACUUACGAAUAUAGCGUGGUUCAAGUUCCAUCAGAUAUUGUUCAUCUGCGCCAGUUAUUGCACCUGAUCGUUCCUAUCGGGAUAAGUUUGCCCUCUAGGAUUGGCAGCAUGAAAUCCCUACGGACACUGCGAGGCUUCGACUUGGGAAUGAACUCAGUAGAAAACAUCAGAGACCUCGGAGGUCUGACCAAUCUGAAGGACCUUGAAAUAUGUCGUGUCUACCGGAAGCAAUUGGAUGAGACAGAAGCAGCAAAACUUAUGAAUAUUUUGAGAUUCUCCCUAGAAAAACUUUGCAACCUCAGAUACCUGUGUAUGGAAUCUUAUCUCCCCAGCGCAUGCUCGGAUGCAUUGGGUUCACUAUCCGCUUCUCCCCGCCUUCUUCGCAGACUCCAUUUACGGGGUUGCAUGCUAUCGAGGGUUCCCGAGUGGAUUCAUGAGCUCCAUAACCUCUACGACCUUGCGCUAGGGGUUAAGGAGCUGUUGGAUGAUGGUGUUGGAAUCAUUGCACAGUUGCACUCCCUCAUCCACCUGCAUUUGUACAUCUUUGGAACUCCUAAAGAGAGGGUCACCAUCUGCGAACAGGAUUCCUUGCUCUCAAGCAUUUCCAAGUCACCUGCCGUUGGACAUCAUACCUGGCGUUCGAGGCAGGGGCAAUGCCCAAGCUCCAGAGGCUCGAGGUCGGAUUCAAUGCGCGCGGAUGGGAGCAACACGGUGCUGCUUUUGUCGGCAUCGAGCACUUGUCAGGCCUCAAGGAAGUCUCCGUACGCAUUGGGGGAUAUGGCGCCGAGGAAUCGAGUGCAAGAGCUGCGCAGUCUGUGCUUAGGGAUGCCAUUGGCAUACACCCGAAUUGUCCUAGAGCUAACAUCAAGUGUGACGAGAACAUGA